UGUGUGAGUUUAAGAAAGUGGAUUCAAAAAUUUCCUCUAUGGAGCGUGGGCUCUGAGACUUGGAAGAGGAGAUUCAGAUGCUGAAAUCGAACGGGGCUUUGAGUACUGAAGAACGAGAGGAAGAAAUGAGGCAAAUGGAGGUCUAUCGGAGCCAUUCUAAAUUUAUGAAAAACAAGGUCAUGAUUGGUCAGGUGAAGCAGGAGCUGUCCAGAAAGGACACAGAACUACUAGCCCUACAGACAAAGCUAGAAACACUCACCAACCAGUUCUCAGACAGCAAGCAGCACAUUGAAGUGCUGAAGGAGUCCUUGACUGCUAAGGAGCCUCGAGGGCUGCCAUCCUGCAGAACGAGGUGGAUGCUCUGGGGUUGCGUUUGGAAGAGAAGGAAACCAUGCUGAAUAAGAAGACAAAACAAAUCCAGGACAUGGCUGAGGAGAAGGGGACCACAAGCUGGAGAGAUCCAUGACCUCAAGGACAUGCUGGAUGUGAAGGAGCGGAAAGUUAAUGUCCUUCAGAAGAAGAAUGAAAAGCUCCAAGAGCAACUUAGAGAUAAGGAAAAGCAGAUGAGCAGCUUGAAGGAGCGAGUCAAAUCCUUGCAGGCUGACACCACCAACACUGACACCGCCUUGACUACUUUGGAGGAGGCCCUUGCCGAGAAGGAGCGGACAAUCGAACGCUUAAAGGACCAGCGGGACCAAGAUGAGCAAGAAAAGCAGGAGGAAAUUGAUAACUACAAAAAAGAUCUUAAAGACCUGAAAGAAAAAGUCAGCCUAUUGCAAGGCGACCUCUCAGAGAAAGAGGCUUCACUCUUGGAUCUGAAAGAGCAUGCUUCUUCCCUGGCUUCCGCAGGAUUGAAAAAGGACUCACGGCUUAAGACACUAGAAAUUGCUUUGGAGCAGAAGAAGGAAGAGUGUCUGAAGAUGGACUCGCAGUUGAAAAAGGCACACGAGGCAGCAUCGGAAGCCAGAGCCAGUCCAGAGAUGAGUGAUCGAAUACAGCAAUUGGAGAGAGAGAUUGCCAGGUACAAAGAUGACUCUAGCAAGGCCCAGGCAGAAGUUGACCGCCUCUUGGAAAUCUUGAAGGAGGUGGAAAGUGAGAAGAAUGACAAAGAUAAGAAGAUUGCUGAGUUGGAAAGAAUCCUGUUUUGGUGGUGCAGCUCUUGGGAUCAGUGCUCUGAGCACCCAGCAGAAGAGGCUCUGAAUGCUUCGGGCUCAGUUAGUCAAGCACCGUGAGCUGCAACAGGGAACAUACAGACAGGAGGCCAGCUGGAGUCUCUCUCUUUCACUUCCUGACGUGUACACCCCGUCAACCCUCAAAUUUCAGCCUCCGAAGCUCCGAGAAAGCCCCUUGGGGAAUACUCUGCUCCUCCCUUUCACUGGGCAGAGCGACCAGCACAGGACCCAGCAUUAGAGAGCUGAACAGCCCCAGACCCCGCGGGCCGGGAGAGCUUCUGGGCAUCCUUCCGUGGGGUCGCAUCACCUCCCUGCUGGAGGCAGACUGGGUACCAGGACCCUGCGGUGAAGCCGACUGGGGAGCAGCUUCCUCCAGCCUCUCCAAGCACAGACGUCAGCGGCGAGGCUCAGACUUGGUGGCUGUGCUCUGUCUCUGCACAGGCUUGUCACCUCUGAUUCAGCCUAGGGUAUGGUUCGAGGUUGCAUCUCUUGUAAACCCCCCUUCAGCUGCUGUCAAGGGCUGGCACCGGAGUUCUUGAAUUUAGGCUGAUGUGGGUCCUGCUAGAGCCUGCUGUCCUCUGCACAUGUCAACAAAUGUGUAUGCAGGUGUGGACCAGCUGGAUCUCUCUCCUUCUCUGGGAAGCGUGGUUUUCAGCAGCGUCAGGCUGGGAAGACAGACAUUUCAUGAACCCUGAAGUCCUGUGCAGGCAGUUGUCACACAGUGUUCCACCAGCGGCCCACGGCCGGCACAGAACACUGCAAAGCUCCAUCUAGCACAAGUGACCACGGGGAACGGGUUGAGAAUCCUGCUGCAUUGUACACGUCUCCUAAGGGAAGAACAUCAAGAAAGAUGAGCUCGCCGCGGAAUUGGCGAACUGUGUGGAAGGGGCGGGAUCUGUAGAGCUCAGCAGGGGCGAGCUCCUGUCAUGGCUUGGCCAGUUCGGGUCUCCCCCUGUCACUUAUGAGGGUGCGGCGAUGUUUUCCCAGAUGUGGUCCCCGUGUACAAAACAAAGAAUCGCUUUGCACAAAGCCAGAAGGGAUACAUUGAAAGAAUUAUCAGAAGAGAAUAAUACAUAGGAAAUGUUUGUGCUCGCAUGCAAGGAAACUUUGUGGGGUAUCUGUGGCUGCCAAAGUGACAUCUGGCAGGAUUAACUGGAUCACCAGAGCCAAACAAUGAGGACUGGGAAGGCAGCAAUAACUGUGAGGCCUGGGCCCAUGUGGGGGCAAGAUUUUGAGAAUGACCACUUAGGUGACAAAAUGGGAUUCCCACGAACCGCAGCUCUGGUUAGUUUCUGGUCUGGAGCCAGAUCCUCUCUCUGAUGCAGACGUGGGAGGACGGAGCGGCAAGAGCUGCCCAGCUGCUCAUCUGGGAACUCAUCCUCCAAGGGACUCUGUCCCUCGUUCUCCUCCCGUACCUGGAGGCGGCAGUCAGCGGGCAGCACCUCUCACAGCACCCCCACGUACACCUGCUCAGACCACCUGCUCAGAGCUACUCUUUUGCCCAGCCCAGCAUACCUGUUCCACCUGUCUGAAGACCCGCCGCACGUUUCCUCGAAGCACACCCCAGAGCUCUUCGUCACUCCAGCCACGCCUCAGCAACUCCUGUAUCAGUACCGGGUAUAUGGACACGUCCUCCAGCCCCUGUGGGAACCUGUGUGGCCGCCAGCCAGCCAGCUAUUGGGCCUCAGACCUGUUCCCUGGUCCUGAGUCAGAACCAGAGCCCUAUGUGUCCAGGGUCCACUGAACCCCAGCCCUGGUCAGAUAGGGAAAAUGGAGACUUGGAGAGAGUAAAUGAUUCACUCCUGCUCUUCAUCCUUCAAAGGAAGGCCCCAAGAGCGCCUCGACUAUUCGUCAAAACUCAUUGAAUUGUACUGUUAAGAUCUAUGCCUUUCACUGAAUGCAAUUUUUGCCUCCAUUUAUAAAGAGAAGAAAAGCUUUUUAAGAACUGGGUUGACCCCCCUGCGUGCACAGACCCAGCUGCAGGCAGAGACGAUGGUCAGCCCAGCCCAGACCUUGCGAAGAGUCUGCUCAGAGGCCGUGGGUCUGCUGGCACUGGAUGGGCGCAGAUGCUGGGCAGAUGAGCUCUGUGUGGUGUUUUAGACAAAUAUGAUGACCUAGAGUAGGGCCAAGCAGACAGGAGAGCCCAGGAAGCAGACCCUGGGAGAGGGGAGAUACCAGUUGGGCCAGCACACCUGAGGCUAUGGUCAAGGCCAUGAGGACCACAGUGUGGUGGGCACGGUGGCUGUGAAAGCCCCACUGCUGCCCAGCCAGCCCGAGACAAGCCAUGGGGAAGCACUCACCGGCCAGCCCCGUCAUAAUCUCCGCCAAUCCCGAUGAACUUGCAUCCAGUGACUGCCCUGAUGUGGUCGAAGUGAUCUGAAGAAUGGGAAGUCAGCAGUGUGGGGCUUCCAGGGCAGGGGUGGGGGUGAUGACUGGCCUCUGUUGAUUCCCCUUUUUGCAGCCUGUAGGCCAAACAGUCCAGUUCCUUCGUGGCCUGGCACCGAGAGUACCAACUCGAGGGCCCUGAGGUUUGAUCUGAAGUGAUCCCAGCUGGCUCUAGACUGGACUUCAGAUUUGGAGUGGACCCCAGAGCCCCCUGUUUGGGCCAUUUCCCACCCACGAUUCACCCUGCCUCCCAGUCUCCUUGAGAACCUUUGGGGCUCCUUUCCCCGGGUGUGGAGGAUGAGAGAGGAACAAGAGUACAACUGAUGAAGACCCCAGAGACCUAAGGAGCUGUCCAGUCCCUUGGCCAGAGGUGCGCUGAAUCGACAGUCCUGAGUUUUGAAGUUUUCCUGGAGGGGACGUGAGGGGAUUUCUCCAGGAUCGAUGGAACUCCUUUUGUGGUGCUUCAGUGCUUCCACCAUGAAGCGCUCAUUUCCCUAUGCACGUCCCCCCGCCCCACCCCACUGUUUCCUUUACUCUCUCUCCUCCCACCCCCAAUUCCCAGAAGAAGAUCUAGGAAUCAGGUCCAAACAUAAGAUCUUUGGAGAAUCCUUGCGUGUGUUUUUUUAAAUUUUUAUUGGAGUAUAGUUGAUUUACAAUGUUGUGUUAGUUCCGGGUGUACAGCAAAGUGAAGCAGUUAUACAUAUACAUAUAAUCCACUCUUUUUUAGACUCUUUUCCCAUACAGGUCAUUACAGAGUACUGAGUAGAGUUCCCUGUGCUAUACAGUAGGUCCUGAUUAGUCAUCUAGUUUAUAGGUAGUGUUGUGUAUAUGUCAAUCCCAAUCUCCCAAUUUAUCCCUCUCCCCUCCCCACUUUCCCCCCCUGGUAACCAUAAGUUUGUUUUCUACACCUGUGACUCUAUUUCGAAUCCUUGUGUUUUACUCUCGUCCUGAAACUAGAUAAAGCCUAGUCAUCAAUCAACAAGUGAGGAAGUAGAGCCAGGCAUUGGUUGAGUGUUGAUGUUUCUGGUACAAGCUGACUCUCCGCUCAUCAUCCCACACCUUCAUCAGCCAUCAUCAUGCUGUCUGUCACCUCCUCUUCUCUGAAGAAGGCCCGGGCCAUCUUUUGAAAAUACAAAGUCCAGCAUUGAGACCCUCCCAACUGAGAGAGCAGGAAGGGCCAGGGCUGCUGAGGUGCUCCCUGAACCCCACUCAGGGGAUCUGUGUUGUUCCCACCUGGGUGUAUUGUGUGGACCCCCUAAAAUUCCUCCAAACCUCUGCCUCUGCGCUUCCAGAUUGCCCCUGAAAGAAAUGAACAAUAAUCAUAAUACCCACCACGUACUGACCGCUGGUCUCUUGAGGGCUGCCUUGCCAUUGGACAACAUUUGUUGAGCUCCUACUGUUUGCCAGACAGCGGGUACAUGCUUUAUGUGUGUUUAGCCCUUCUGACAACACUGUGAUUUAGGACCUGUUAAUAUGUCUAUUUUGCUGAAAUGGAAACUGAGGUUCAGAGUGGUUAAAUAACAAGGAAAAGUCCAUGUUUUUACCCCCUACACUAAUAUAUAUGUAUAUUUGUGUAUAUAUAUUCUAUAUAUGUAUAUUUAACAUGUAUAUGAUGUUGACUGAAAAAAAUGCACAACCUCAAAGUUGAGAAAUAUGUUUUAUUGGGUGGGCAAAACUGAGGACUUAAGCCUGGGACACAGCCUCUCAGCUCUCUCUGAGGGACUGAUCCAAAAAGGAGAGGGAGGAGCCAUCAACUAUAGGAGUUUUUGCAACAAAGACCAGGUAAUCGGAACAUGGAAAGAUUCCUGUUAAUUAAAGAAAACCAGACAUCUCGAGUUAAUGACUUUUUAGUGUUUUUCUGUGUAUGGGAAGAUGCAAAAGUCUGGGCUCACUGAAAUCCUUCCUUUGAUAUGCACCUCAGCUAUGUGGGCCAGUAUCCUGUGCUUUCUCAUCCUGUGUUCCCUCGGGGUGCACCAUCAGGGGAGGCUGUGGCAGUUGACUGCUAGAUGGUGGGCAUCCUGUUUCCAUCCUGAGUUUCCUCAGGGUUCACUCUUGGGGCGGCUAUAAUGUGAUGGCUUGAUGGCUGCAACAUCCUUUGUUUACUGAUAUGGCAGGCAACAUUUUUUCAUUGACAAUUAUAUAUAUACAAUAGACACUGUUCGUGUUACAUAUAUUAUCUAUUUUACGUGCUACGUGUUUUUUAGACUCUUUGCAAAAAACCUUGCAAGGUAGGUGUUAUUCUUUACAUUUUGUGAAAAAGAAAUUAAAGCCUCUAACAGGCUGAGAAAUUUGUCAGGUCACUACAUCACGAUUAACAAGUCAGUGAACAAGAUUUUGAAUCCAAGUAAUCCUUUUGUGAAAACAAAACCCCCCCAAAAACAAAGAAACUAUGUUCUUUCCAUGCUCCAAAAUAUAUUUUGGUCAAGUGACUUAAGAAACUCUCCCUUAAGCUUGUCUAAAGCAGAAAAUAAGACAACAAUGCUUUACUGGAAAUUAUCAAAAGGCAGGAUCAAGCAGGAAUAAUGAAAGGGAGCCUGAGGUUUCGGGUGAUGAACCCACUGGCUAAAUAGGCCCCUGGAAACAGACCCACUUUUUUUUUUUUUUAAUUAAUUUGUAUAUUUGUUUAUUGACUGUUUUCCUCCAAUAGAAUGUAAUCUUUUUUUUUUUUUAACAUCUUUAUUGGAGUAUAAUUGCUUUACAAUGGUGUUAGUUUCUGCUUUAUAACAAAGUGAAUCAGCUCUACAUAUACAUAUAUCCCCAUAUCUCCUCCCUCUUGCUAGCUCAUGAUUUAGGACCCACGCACAGGAGAAUUCAGGCUGCAUUAAUAGAAAAAUAUGACUUGCAGCCCUGGAGAUGUGGCUUCAGAGGAAAUGAUGACUUAAUGCUUGUGAUCUGUAAGAAUGUUGGUGUUUUGGGUCAAGUAACCUAUGCAUUUUCUCAAGGGAGGUAGGUUUGGGGAAAAAAGGCAAUAAUUAAACUGAACAUACCAACAAGGAAAAAAUAAUUUAACUGUUACGAUGACUCAUUUAGUUGGCAGCUUCAGGUAAUGAGGUGCUCUGGAUUAAUUUUCCUGAGAGCAGAAACAUAUCCCUUUAAAUGAUGAAGCAUGUUAUCUUCAUCAAUCUUUGAAGAAAAUAUUUCCAAGGUACAUUUUAUAUUCUCUUUUGUCAGUAGUAUUCUUGACAAUUUUUAGGACUAGAGACAUAGUUUUUGUUUUUAAAGAGUUUAAAGAACGAUUUGAUCUUUGAAAAUCAUGUUACAUCGUUGGUCCCCAGUGUUUUCAUCUACAGUAUGUGAACUUUGGGUUAGAUGAUCAUCAAGGUUCCUUCCAUCUCUAAUAUUCUCUAAGUAAAGGGCUCUUGUGCACAAUAAAAUUUAAAACAUAAGAAUCAUCGAGGGGGCUUGUUAAAAAUGCAGAUUCUUAGGUAUCAUUGUUGGAGGUUCUGAUUCAGUUGGUUUGAGUGAGGCAAGAGAACCUGUAUCAUAAAUGGGUGCAUACCCAUGGCCAUUUUGAUGACCUCAUUUUGAGAAACUGAUUCUCUUUCCAGCCUCAGAUAACAGAUGUCAUAACCAUUUUUGGCCACCAGGGUACCGUUGCUGCCCUGCCCUCAGUGGUGUGAAGUUGUAAGGGGCUGACCAGACCCAGAGGCCUGUGCUUUGAUAGUUUGCUUCUGAUCCCAUCCUCAGUAUUAACUGUCACUUAGUUAAUGUAGCUGCUGAGGAAAACCAGAUAAUCGAGCUGCAAAUUAGGUGCCCUGCAUUUGUACCUAUGAGUCAUUAAGUUUUCAUCUCAGGCUGGGUAGGGGCGAGGGGAGGACUUCCAUUUUCUCCUGUAGUCUAAAGUGCAUAAAUGAGCCACGGCUAUCUUAGACCCUGUUUGGAGGUCUCUUACUCUUCGUUCGUGUUCUUUCUCAUCCUAAGAGUCAAGUUUCUGGAAGGGCGACAUCAGGAGAAGUGGCAGAUUUCUGUGUAAAUAUGUUAACAUUUCAUAGUGAGGUUUGGGGUCAGGGCUGUCCCUGACUUCUCUUUUAAAUUUCUUUAUUUUUUGAACAGUUGUAUUGAUGUAUAAUUCACAUGCCAUACAAUUGACUCUUUUGAAGUAUAUGCAAUUCAGUGGUUUUUAGUAAAAUCUGUGAAUUUAUAGAGUUGUAUGCACCUAUCAUGUAAUCUAAUUUUUGAACAUUUCCAUCACCCUCCAAAAGAAACCUUGUGCCUAUUUGGAAUCACUCUCAUUCCCACCCCCAGACCCAUUCAACCGAUAAUUUACUUCUUACCUCUAUAGAUUUGCCUUUUGUAGACAUUUCAUAUAAAUGGGCUCAUACCGUA